AUUGAACGCUGGCGGCAUGCCUUACACAUGCAAGUCGAACGGCAGCACGGGAGCAAUCCUGGUGGCGAGUGGCGAACGGGUGAGUAAUAUAUCGGAACGUGCCCAGUCGUGGGGAUAACGUAGCGAAAGCUACGCUAAUACCGCAUACGAUCUACGGAUGAAAGCGGGGGGAUCGCAAGACCUCGCGCGAUUGGAGCGGCCGAUAUCAGAUUAGGUAGUUGGUGAGGUAAAGGCUCACCAAGCCGACGAUCUGUAGCUGGUCUGAGAGGACGACCAGCCACACUGGGACUGAGACACGGCCCAGACUCCUACGGGAGGCAGCAGUGGGAAUAUUGGACAAUGGCGAAAGCCUGAUCCAGCAAUGCCGCGUGAGUGAUGAAGGCCUUAGGGUUGUAAAGCGUCUUUUACCAGGGAUGAUAAUGGCAGUACCUGGAGAAUAAGCUCCGGCUAACUACCGUGCCAGCAGCCGCGGU
rnacentral:rRNA from 1 species